GUAUAUAGUACAUUUACGUAUCAACGUUAACGCUAUCGUUUUCCUAAUGUGAUGUACCCCUAUUUUCUUUAAAUCAGACGCACAAAAAACAGUUCUUAAAAUAUUUAUUUACCUGUAGUCUGUAAUAAUAAAUAAUAAAAUUAAACUCUAUGGCUUGAUGCAAGAAAGGCCAAUGUGGCAAUGUCACAUUUUGUGAUUGUUGGAAAAUAGGCUUUGAAAUUUGAAUUCCU